AGAGUUUGAUCCUGGCUCAGAUUGAACGCUGGCGGCAUGCCUUACACAUGCAAGUCGAACGGCAGCACGGACUUCGGUCUGGUGGCGAGUGGCGAACGGGUGAGUAAUAUAUCGGAACGUACCCUGGAGUGGGGGAUAACGCAGCGAAAGUUGCGCUAAUACCGCAUACGAUCUACGGAUGAAAAUGGGGGCUCGCAAGACCUCAUGCUCGUGGAGCGGCCGAUAUCUGAUUAGCUAGUUGGUAGGGUAAAAGCCUACCAAGGCUUCGAUCAGUAGCUGGUCUGAGAGGACGACCAGCCACACUGGGACUGAGACACGGCCCAGACUCCUACGGGAGGCAGCAGUGGGGAAUUUUGGACAAUGGGGGCAACCCUGAUCCAGCAAUGCCGCGUGAGUGAAGAAGGCCUUCGGGUUG
rnacentral:rRNA from 1 species